rnacentral:rRNA from 1 species
AUCGCCUCUUGCCUAAAUAUAAGAGGUCCAGCCUGCCCAGUGACUCUGUUCAACGGCCGCGGUAUCCUAACCGUGCGAAGGUAGCGUAAUCACUUGUUCUUUAAAUGAGGACUGGUAUGAAUGGCACCACGAAGGUUAUACUGUCUCCUCUUUUUAAUCAGUGAAACUAAUCUCCCCGUGAAGAAGCGGGGAUAAACAUAUAAGACGAGAAGACCCUAUGGAGCUUUAAACUAUGUAACACUUGUACUAACCCUAAUACAAAUUCCAGAAAAAUCCUCUACAUCUAUACAAGAUUGUUGCCAGUUUUAGGUUGGGGUGACCACGGAGCAAAAAACAACCUCCACAUUGAAAGGAGUUUAUUCCUUAACCAAGAGCCACACCUCCACGUAUCAUUACAAUGACAUUAAUUGACCCAAUAUAUUGAUCAACGAACCAAGUUACCCUAGGGAUAACAGCGCAAUCCACUUCAAGAGCUCCUAUCGACAAGUGGGUUUACGACCUCGAUGUUGGAUCAGGGUAUCCCAGUGGUGCAGCCGCUACUAAAGGUUCGUUUGU